GUCCAAGCUCUGGGACUUCUGACUUGACUCUUUCUGGUGAUUGAAUAGCCGGUGAAUGAAAUUGAAUCAGAAUCUCCUGUUUGAGAAUAAGCUCCUGGUUGAAGGAAGAAUUGCACAAUGUGCUAUUGAAUGCGCUGUUGAGGGAGAAUGCCCCAUUGACUUCUCUCUAGAACCUAUAGGGCCAAUAGACGGAAUUCGUCUUAGUGCCUUAGGGUACUUUAGAUUCCGAUUCAAAGCAAAGGAAACUUCCUAAGGAAGAAGGGCUUU
rnacentral:misc_RNA from 1 species